GGCUAUAGGUCUGCCUUAACUAAGGGUAAACCAGGUACACUCACUGGGCUAUAGGUCUGCCUUAACUAAGGGUAAACCAGGUACACUCACUGGGCUAUAGGUCUGCCUUAACUAAGGGUAAACCAGGUACACUCACUGGGCUAUAGGUCUGCCUUAACUAAGGGUAAACCAGGUACACUCACUGGGCUAUAGGUCUGCCUUAACUAAGGGUAAACCAGGUACACUCACUGGGCUAUAGGUCUGCCUUAACUAAGGGUAAACCAGGUACACUCACUGGGCUAUAGGUCUGCCUUAACUAAGGGUAAACCAGGUACACUCACUGGGCUAUAGGUCUGCCUUAACUAAGGGUAAACCAGGUACACUCACUGGGCUAUAGGUCUGCCUUAACUAAGGGUAAACCAGGUACACUCACUGGGCUAUAGGUCUGCCUUAACUAAGGGUAAACCAGGUACACUCACUGGGCUAUAGGUCUGCCUUAACUAAGGGUAAACCAGGUACACUCACUGGGCUAUAGGUCUGCCUUAACUAAGGGUAAACCAGGUACACUCACUGGGCUAUAGGUCUGCCUUAACUAAGGGUAAACCAGGUACACUCACUGGGCUAUAGGUCUGCCUUAACUAAGGGUAAACCAGGUACACUCACUGGGCUAUAGGUCUGCCUUAACUAAGGGUAAACCAGGUACACUCACUGGGCUAUAGGUCUGCCUUAACUAAGGGUAAACCAGGUACACUCACUGGGCUAUAGGUCUGCCUUAACUAAGGGUAAACCAGGUACACUCACUGGGCUAUAGGUCUGCCUUAACUAAGGGUAAACCAGGUACACUCACUGGGCUAUAGGUCUGCCUUAACUAAGGGUAAACCAGGUACACUCACUGGGCUAUAGGUCUGCCUUAACUAAGGGUAAACCAGGUACACUCACUGGGCUAUAGGUCUGCCUUAACUAAGGGUAAACCAGGUACACUCACUGGGCUAUAGGUCUGCCUUAACUAAGGGUAAACCAGGUACACUCACUGGGCUAUAGGUCUGCCUUAACUAAGGGUAAACCAGGUACACUCACUGGGCUAUAGGUCUGCCUUAACUAAGGGUAAACCAGGUACACUCACUGGGCUAUAGGUCUGCCUUAACUAAGGGUAAACCGGGUACACUCACUGGGCUAUAGGUCUGCCUUAACUAAGGGUAAACCAGGUACACUCACUGGGCUAUAGGUCUGCCUUAACUAAGGG